UACGUAGGGCGCAAGCGUUGUCCGGAAUUAUUGGGCGUAAAGAGCUCGUAGGCGGCCUGUUGCGUCCGCUGUGAAAACCCGGGGCUUAACCCCGGGCUUGCAGUGGAUACGGGCAGGCUGGAGGCAGGCAGGGGAGAACGGAAUUCCCGGUGUAGCGGUGAAAUGCGCAGAUAACGGGAGGAACACCGGUGGCGAAGGCGGUUCUCUGGGCCUGUACUGACGCUGAGGAGCGAAAGCGUGGGGAGCGAACAGG
rnacentral:rRNA from 1 species